AUGUGUUUUCUUCUGGGAAGUGAAACACAGUCAGAAAGACUGAUAGAGCUGUUUUUCAGAAGACUGAAACCUCACAGUUUCCAUCUGUGUCUCUCUUUAGCUGCGGCUCGUCCCGCUCUGACGGUGCUGCCUCCCUCCAGAGACGAGCUGCAGCAGGGGAAGGCUACAGUGCUGUGUGUGGCCAGUAAGGGAUUCCCCUCUGACUGGAAGCUGAGCUGGAAGGUGGACGGCAGCAGCAGGAGCUCUGGUGUCAAUCUGAGUCCCAGUCAGCUGCAGAAGGAUGGACUGUACAGCUGGAGCAGCAGCCUGAGCCUCACUGAGAGUGAGUGGAGCAGAGCAACAACCGUCAGCUGUGACGCCACGCACCCGUCCCACAGUGCAGUCACCAACAGCAUCAACACACAGCAGUGUGCAAUGCUGGUUAUCCAGACCGGCGUUGAAAAGGUCUUUCAGGGCCGCAUCAUUAUAUCCCAUUCCUACCGCCAUGGUCCAGAAUACUUGUGCCACACCACCCACCUCAUUCCCCUCUUGACGGAGAGUGGUUAA